rnacentral:rRNA from 1 species
ACGCGGCGGUGUGCCUAUACAUGCAAGUCGAACGCGUUGGCCCGACUGAUUGAUGAUGCUUGCAUCAGAUUGACGACGGUUUACCAACGAGUGGCGGACGGGUGAGUAACACGUAGGCAACCUGCCCAGAAGCGGGGGACAACAUUUGGAAACAAGUGCUAAUACCGCAUAACAACGAAAACCGCCUGGUUUUCGUUUAAAAGAUGGUUUCGGCUAUCACUUCUGGAUGGGCCUGCGGCGCAUUAGCUAGUUGGUAAGGCAACGGCUUACCAAGGCAGUGAUGCGUAGCCGAGUUGAGAGACUGAUCGGCCACAAUGGAACUGAGACACGGUCCAUACUCCUACGGGAGGCAGCAGUAGGGAAUCUUCCACAAUGGGCGCAAGCCUGAUGGAGCAACACCGCGUGAGUGAAGAGGGUUUCGGCUCGUAAAACUCUGUUGUUGAAGAAGAACGUGCGUGAGAGUAACUGUUCACGCAGUGACGGUAUUCAACCAGAAAGUCACGGCUAACUACGUGCCAGCAGCCGCGGUAAUACGUAGGUGGCAAGCGUUAUCCGGAUUUAUUGGGCGUAAAGCGAGCGCAGGCGGUUUUCUAAGUCUGAUGUGAAAGCCUUCGGCUUAACCGGAGAAGGGCAUCGGAAACUGGAUAACUUGAGUGCAAGAGAGGACAGUGGAACUCCAUGUGUAGCGGUGGAAUGCGUAGAUAUAUGGAAGAACACCAGUGGCGAAUGCGGCUGUCUAGCUUGCAACUGACGCUGACCCUCGAAAGCAUGGGUAGCCGAACAGGAUUAGAUACCCUGGUAGUCCUUGCCGUAUAACGAUGAGUGCUAU